CCUACGGGUGACAGCAGUGAGGAAUAUUGGUCAAUGGGCGCGAGCCUGAACCAGCCAAGUCGCGUGAGGGAUGACGGUCCUACGGAUUGUAAACCUCUUUUGCCGGGGCGCAAGCGUGCGUUCGUGAACGCGCGUCGAGAGUACCCGGAGAAAACGCCACGGCAAACACCGUGCCAGCUGCCGCGGUAAUACGUAGGAUGCGAGCGUUAUCCGGAUUUAUUGGGUUUAUAGGGCGCGUAGGCGGGAUGCCAAGUCAGCGGUAAAAAUGCGGUGCUCAACGCCGUCGAGCCGUGGAACCUGGCGUUCUUGAGUGGGCGAGAAGUAUGCGGAAUGCGUGGUGUAGCGGUGAAAUGCAUAGAUAUCACGCAGAACUCCGAUUGCGAAGGCAGCAUACCGGCGCCCUACUGACGCUGAGGCACGAAAGCGUGGGUAUCGAACAGGAUUAGAUACCCUUGUAGUC
rnacentral:rRNA from 1 species